GACGAACGCUGGCGGCGUGCUUAACACAUGCAAGUCGAGCGGCGCGGCGAACGGGUGAGUAACGCGUGAGUAACUGCCCCCCUCUCUGGGAUAACAGUUGGAAACGGCUGCUAAUACCGGAUAGUGGGGGAUGACUCGCGUCCUAUCAGCUUGGUGGUGGGGUAGUGGCCUGCCAAGGCGACGACGGGUAGCCGGCCUGAGAGGGCGACCGGCAACAGUGGGAUGAGUGACGGCCCAAACUCGUACGGGAGGCAGGAGUGGGGAAUAUAGCACAAUGCGGCAAACCCUGGUGCAGCAACGCCGCGUGCGGGAUGACGGCCUUCGGGUUGAAAACCGCUUUCAUCCAUGACGCGGUAGUGGCAGAAGAAGCACCGGCUAACUACGUGCCAGCAGCCGCGGUAAUUC
rnacentral:rRNA from 1 species